rnacentral:rRNA from 1 species
UUCUUCGGAUGAAGAUUUUUGUGACUGAGUGGCGGACGGGUGAGUAACGCGUGGGUAACCUGCCUCAUACAGGGGGAUAACAGUUAGAAAUGACUGCUAAUACCGCAUAAGCGCACAGGGUCGCAUGACCUGGUGUGAAAAACUCCGGUGGUAUGAGAUGGACCCGCGUCUGAUUAGCUAGUUGGCGAGGUAACGGCCCACCAAGGCGACGAUCAGUAGCCGACCUGAGAGGGUGAUCGGCCACAUUGGGACUGAGACACGGCCCAAACUCC